GCGGUCAGGGUUGGGGGCGGGGACUCGGGAGGGGGUGUGGCCGGGGAUUGGAGGUGCGGAUGCGGGCCUGGGGAUGGGGGGACUAGAGGGGCGGCCGGAGGACCCGGGUGCAGAUCCGGGCUUGAUGGACGUGGAUGAGAUGCGGGGAUGCAGACCCGGGCCUGGGGGACGCGGAGGUGGGGGGCAGACUUCGGCUGGCGCGGAUCCGGGCCGGGGGUGAGGGGUCCAGACCCCGAGAGGAGGGCCAGAGCCAGGGGCGGCCGGGAGGGAGGCGGGGGUGCGGCCCUAGCCCGUGCGAGGUGGUGCGGAGCCAGAGCUGAGUGCGGAGCACUGGGGUAGGGGGUGGAGGACAUCGGAACGGAGCAUCCCCUCCUCCUCAGUCGUCUUCUUCGGCUCCUCCUCCCGCCUGGGGUCGGGACCCCCUAGCAGGUCCGCCUGCCGGGCUCUCGCUCCGCCGCCCUCCGGGCACUGAAACUACCAGGGCGCGGACAGGCCUUGGGGAGAACUUGACUGGGCUUUUCGUUUAUGGGAAACACUCCCCAGGCAAACGCUCAGACAGGCCCGCGAGAGGACGUGAUGAGUGUAGGGAGGUGACAUCACAGCCUUGCCCCACCAGAGCCCCACCAUCCCUCAAUGGUUCACCCGGGGGAAGGGGUACAGACACCUGAAGGUUGUGUAAGAUGAUGAGCAGGGCCUCGCACCUCAGUGGCCCCCCAGCCUCAAAUCCCCGCCCCUCUCCCUCCCGCGCACGGAGGGACCUAAGAGGAGACGGAAGGAGCCAAGAAGGGAAGAUCCCCAUCCAGCCUUUCUUUGAGCCAGCGAGCGAGCUCAGCGGCAGGCAGGGGCGGGCCUCGGCUUCCCGCCCCUCCCCUCCUGCCCCAUGCCUGCGCCCGAACGCUGCCCCUCUUCCAAAACCCUCAUCAUAAAGAGUAAUCACUGUUAGGAAAGAAAAAUUACAAAAAGGGGGAACAGAGAAAGCAUCCUCUCCCCUCCCAGGGGAAAAAAAAAAAAAAAAAAAAAAAAGGAAGCAAAGGAAAUACCAAUAGAUACUGACCGUUAUUUCUAGCUUUUGGUCAUUGGCUAAUAAAAGAAAACGCUUAUUCCGAGUGAACUAUCCCCCCAAAUAAGGGCAGGAGACUCCUCAGAGCUGUCUCCUUCAACCCCAGGGAUGUUAUUGUUGGUCGUGCCUGUGUUGGAUUUACUCUUGAUUUCUUUCUCUCUUUCCCACUUACUUAAAAACCCAACUUUUCCAAAGUAAGAGAAUGCCAACAUCGUGAGCCUUGCUUACCCAUCUUGACUUGGAGUCAACCAGAAUCCUGACUCGAGUUGCAGAACGAUUGGUCGGGCACCUUUUGCUUAUUACUUGAGACCUCCCCCCUGCAAUCAAGAUAUUGAAGUGAAAAAGAAAAAAGGAUGGGGAAGGAAUUGUAAAGGGAGAGAAAAUCACAGAGAACAUCUCAGCACCUUUCUCGAAGAUGGAAAGCUGAUCGUAGAGAGUUUCCGGAUGGAACAGGAAGAGAAAUUACAGCCUACAGAAGGAAACGGGAGUCGGUGUCUGACAGUGAGGCCCUGGGACUCUGUCAGCAGAUGUGAACGCAGCUGGGAGCGAGAAGUAGGGGGACGAGCCAGAAGACUGGUGGAAGGUCUUCGUGUGGACAAGGCUUCGUCCUCCGGCCUCACCCAGUUCACGCGUAAGGAAAAACGGAUCGGGUCCCUGGCGAAGAGCUCUGCUGCCGUGUAAGAAACACUCUCUUCCCGGUGAGUUUUUACCUGGAAUGGGGAGCUCUGGUUGGGGUGUGGUCGUUACCGAUGGGCACGCUAGAGCUGGGCUACUCCAGGUUCAGGCACCCACACCUGGCCCGUACUUGACUCUAGGCUUCAUUAGAGUUAUUUUCCAUCCUGAGGACGUUGUGUGGCAGGGGUGGGGAGAGGGGGGAGGACGGCGGUGGGGUGCGGACAGGGAAGCCUGUGCAGAUGUGGACUUGUGGGUUCCAGGCCCGCGUCGGGCUCUGUGCUGACAGCUCAGAUUCUGGAGCCUGCUUGGGAUGCUGUGUCUCCCUCUCUCUCUCUCUGCCCCUCCCCAGCUCGCACUCUGUCUCUCUCAAAAAUAAACAUUAAAAAAUUUUUUAAAAAAUCCACAAAACAAACCAUGAAAUGUCCAACUUUAAGUUCAAACAUCCCCACGGGGAACGGCGACUCUGCAGUGUGGAAACUGCUGUUAGGCUGGUCCCCUCUGCACAGAACCAGCCCGUGGCCCCAGAGAGCUGGGAAGAUGCGUCCAUUCCUGCUUCUCCUGGGAGGCCUGAGAAUUUUCCAGUGAACUCAGCAGCGAAAGGAACAGAAGUCUCCAGUUAAAGCUCGGGUUAAAUAUUAAGUUUGCUCGGCCCUUUCAUUCACAGUGUUUUAACUUGUACGUGGUAUUGAAGUCCCGGCCCGUGAAUUGUUUGCACAGGUCCUCCUGCUGGGAAGGACCUCCCGUCCUGUGGAAUUCAAUCAACCAUCACCCAGGGGGCACAGCUGGCACUUCCUGGUCCCUUUACAGACCUUGGUUCCUUAAAGGAGCCUCUCGGCACCCUCCUUCCUCUGUUUUAUGGACGGCAAAGCCGCGGCUCAGAGGGGCAGUGGACUUGCCUAAGGUCUUGAAGCUAGGAAGUCACAACGGUGGGACUCGAGCCCAAAUCCGUCGAGUUCCCAUGGUCUUUUUGUUAUGCUGGCUCCACCCAAAUAUCGAGAAAAUCAGCAGAAUAGACAAACUGACCUCCGUGUAAGGAAUGACCACCCUGGUACCCAGAGUUACCGUGUAGGUACGGGUGACCAACCGUCUCCGUUUGCCCAGGACCGAGCGUAUUCCUGGGUUGUGGGACUUCCGACCCAUGAGUUGGUCACCCCACACGUAGGGUUGUACAGAUUAUUUACUGAACAAAAGCACCUGAGCCAGGAGCAGGAAGAGGCUGCCAUUCAGCCAUGCUCCAUGCACCCAGCUGUCCCCUGUGCAUCAGGGCUGUGUCUCCUCCCCCUCAAGGAAGGUGCAGUGUGGACUAGCAGAGGCCCAAGGGCAGCCUGUCUCAAGAUGAGCCACACUGGCAUGGGGAUUAUUUUGAGCUGAAGGCAAUUGAGACCCUACAGGCUCAAGAGAAACGUUUGCCCCUCUUUCAACUACAUAAAAGAAUCUAAAUCAGAGGAUCUUUCCAGAAAUAAGGGUUAUUACCAGAGAUAAGUUUUAUCUUGAGUGACCCAUCUGUAUGGCAGGGCAAAUGUUGGUUUUCCAAACACGUACUCCUUUUCAUCUUCCUGUGAAUUACAUUCUUUCCCUUUGAAGUCUGAGACCCCUACCCCCUUCUCCUUAGUUCAGAAUGGCAUAGGUACCUCAUUUUACCUGUCUUUGGAAUUUCGACGUCUGUGUGGAUUCCCUGUACGUAUGCUAUUCAAUCUGCUUUCCUCCUGCUAUUGAUUCUUAGUCCAGCUAGAAUGACCCUUGAAGGGGACAGGAAUUCUUGCUUCCUGAUGCUGGCUACGGUCCCACCAAUUCCUCUGACAUUACUAACCCAGAAGUUUAAGCAGAUGAGUAAUCAAGGAAUGCACUUUCCAUCUUGGAAUGGGGUGGUCCAUCUUGGAAUCGCCAGCCAAUGACUCGUGAGCAAAAUCGAAUGCGUCGCUUCUGGACUACGGCCAUCAGUUCUGCUGAAAGUUCUCAAAUGGUCUUCCUCUGUGCCACAGUGAGGGCAACGUUCAAGAUGGCGGCAGCUCUGUCCCAGGGGUCCUGUCACUGAACAGAUCCCCUGGCUAACGUGUGAUCGACAUGGAGCCUAGGUAAGAACUAAAUACUUGCUGUUAAAAGCCAGUUCUCCUUGGGGAGCGUUUCUCACUGUGGCAUAACCCAGCCUCGCUGCGCUCCAUGGCGAAGAAGCUUACACUUGAUUCUGUGAACUACAUGUGGGGCUCUGGAGGGGAGUGUAGUCAGGCUUGCAGUUUCCAAAGACCACUCUACUCUAUCUCAUUGGGGUUGUCAAACAUAAAUAAGUUUAAUAACAGGGCUUGAAUAUAUUCUUAUGUAUAUUCUUCAAUAUAUUCUUAGAAACUACGAUUUUUUUUUUUAACUUUGAUCUUUAUUUUUGGUAAACGUUACUUUAAUGGUAGUUGUGAUGGUUGGCUCUAUGUGUCAACUUCACGGAGCUAAGGGAUGCCCAAACAGCGGGUGAAACAUCAUUUCUGGGAGCGUCUGGGAGAGUGUUUCCAGAAGACAUUAGCAUUUGAAUCGGCAGAUCGGGUAAAGAGAUGUCUUCACCUGUGUGGCUGAAGGUUCUGAUCAGAACAGAAAGGAGGAAGGGUGAGUUCUCACUCUCAGCUUGGGGACCCCAUCUUCUCCUGCCCUUGGACAUUGGCGCUCUCCGCUCUCAAGCCUUUCGGACUCAGACUGAAUUGUGCCACCAGCGUUCCGGGAUCUCCAGCUUGCAGAUGAGAGAUGGUGGGCCUUCUCAACCUCUACCGUCAUGUAAGCAACUCCUGUGAUAAGCCUCCUCUUACAUAUACGUCACUCUAUAUAUCCUAUGGGUUCUGUUUCUCCGGAGAACCCUGGCUAAUA